UACGUAGGGUGCGAGCGGUAAUCGGAAUUACCGGGCGUAAAGCGCGCGUAGGCGGGUUGGUAAGUCGGUUGUGAAAGCCCUGGGCGUAACCUGGGAACUGCAGUCGAUACUGCCUGACUAGAGUAUGGUAGAGGGAAGUGGAAUUUCCGGUGUAGCGGUGAAAUGCGUAGAUAUCGGAAGGAACACCAGUGGCGAAGGCGACUUCCUGGGCCAAUACUGACGCUGAGGUGCGAAAGCGUGGGGAGCAAACAGG
rnacentral:misc_RNA from 1 species